rnacentral:rRNA from 1 species
UUAGAAGUUUGAUCCUGGCUCAGAACGAACGCUGGCGGCAGGCCUAACACAUGCAAGUCGAGCGCGCCUUCGGGUGAGCGGCGGACGGGUGAGUAACGCGUGGGAAUAUGCCCUUUGGUACGGAAUAGUCCUGGGAAACUGGGGGUAAUACCGUAUGCGCCCUUCGGGGGAAAGAUUUAUCGCCAAAGGAUUAGCCCGCGUUGGAUUAGGUAGUUGGUGGGGUAAUGGCCUACCAAGCCGACGAUCCAUAGCUGGUUUGAGAGGAUGAUCAGCCACACUGGGACUGAGACACGGCCCAGACUCCUACGGGAGGCAGCAGUGGGGAAUCUUAGACAAUGGGGGCAACCCUGAUCUAGCCAUGCCGCGUGAGUGAUGAAGGCCCUAGGGUUGUAAAGCUCUUUCAGCUGGGAAGAUAAUGACGGUACCAGCAGAAGAAGCCCCGGCUAACUCCGUGCCAGCAGCCGCGGUAAU